rnacentral:rRNA from 1 species
ACUUUCGCUCAUAUCACAUUGGAAGCACCGACUCUCCUCCGAUCACCAUAGUUAAACAAUGUCGAGCCUAGUCAGUAUUUACAUGGGUAACCGAAUGGGAAGCCUAGAUACUGUAAGUG